rnacentral:RNase_P_RNA from 1 species
CGAGGCGAAAAGGCAACUUCGGCUUUGGCUGAGGAACCUCCUGACUCCUUAAAGAGAUGUAGAUGUAAAUCUACCAUGCGAGAGCGUGGUUCUUGGAACAGAAACGACACGCCCUUUAUUCAGGGACAAUGAUGCGAAGAAGAUUGUGGUAACACAAGUCGAGUUAAUUUGCUGAGGAGAAUAAAGGAAACGGUGAAACGGUCAACCAUCUUGGAGCAAGCUUGAGUAGGGUUCAUCUGAACCGGGUAAAGUGCUUAGAUGAAUGUUGCCGGGAAGGUCCUUGACGGCUUCCUAACAAAAUCAGGGGUAUUUUCGCGACG